CCUACGGGAUGCAGCAGUGGGGAAUAUUGCACAAUGGGCGCAAGCCUGAUGCAGCCAUGCCGCGUGUGUGAAGAAGGCCUUCGGGUUGUAAAGCACUUUCAGCGGGGAGGAAGGCGGUGAGGUUAAUAACCUCAUCGAUUGACGUUACCAACAGAAGAAGCACCGGCUAACUCCGUGCCAGCAGCCGCGGCAAUACGGAGGGUGCAAGCGUUAAUCGGAAUUACUGGGCGUAAAGCGCACGCAGGCGGUUGAUUAAGUUAGAUGUGAAAUCCCCGGGCUUAACCUGGGAAUGGCAUCUAAGACUGGUCAGCUAGAGUCUUGUAGAGGGGGGUAGAAUUCCAUGUGUAGCGGUGAAAUGCGUAGAGAUGUGGAGGAAUACCGGUGGCGAAGGCGGCCCCCUGGACAAAGACUGACGCUCAGGUGCGAAAGCGUGGGGAGCAGACAGGAUUAGAUACCCCGGUAGUC
rnacentral:rRNA from 1 species